UAGGGUAUCUUGGACAAUGGGCGAAAGCCUGAUCCAGCCAUGCCGCGUGAGUGAUGAAGGCCUUAGGGUUGUAAAGCUCUUUCGCCAGGAAAGAUAAUGACGGUACCUGGAUAAGAAGCCCCGGCUAACUUCGUGCCAGCAGCCGCGGUAAUACGAAGGGGGCUAGCGUUGUUCGGAAUUACUGGGCGUAAAGCGCACGUAGGCGGCUUUCCAAGUUGGAGGUGAAAUCCCCGGGCUUAACCCGGGAACUGCCUCCAAAACUGAAAGGCUAGAGUCCGAGAGAGGUGAGUGGAAUUUCCAGUGUAGAGGUGAAAUUCGUAGAUAUUGGAAAGAACACCAGUGGCGAAGGCGGCUCACUGGCUCGGUACUGACGCUGAGGUGCGACAGCGUGGGGAGCAAACAG
rnacentral:rRNA from 1 species